GGAGAACUUCCCUACACGUUCUUUCCAUAAACUAUCCCACGUUCAGUCACAACUCCAUAGCUUACGACUACCCCCGCUGUUCAAUCAAUCCCUAUACUGCCAUUCAUUGCUGCCUGAUCCAUGGCGAACUCGUGACGGCCAUUGUCCACGAUCGAAUCGACUUCCAUUAAAUAGAGUUCAAGCAACAUAUCGUAGCCACAGUCGAACCGUACACUGCAAAAUUUUUAAAGAAUGGCUUGUUCAAGGAAUGAUAAGCGAGGGGAGAAAAUUGGAAGCCAUGAUUCAAACACGAGGUAAACAGAAGGUUGAUGAAGUGCAAAAAGAUUCCUCCUCUAAAGGAUACAAAUCCACACGGCUCGCCACAACUUUGCCCGCGAAAAAGGUCUGUUUUCUUUAUUUAAUUUUUCACUUAUUUUUGAGCACACAUAUGAACAUUUUAAUGGAUGGGUAACGUGUAUGGAUGAAUUAUUUUGAAUUUGAGAGAUAUGUUGCAUUGAAUUUGUAGUGUGUAAUUAUAAUCGAAAUGCUGGACUCUAAAAAGGGUUUUUCCUAUUAUUUUGAAAUUUGGUUGUUCAAUUGUGAUUUAUGUAAGGGGAUUGUAUCAUUUUCUAAGUGUGCUGAUCAGUUCUUUUAUGUGGGAGGGGACUUGUGACCCACAUGUUGUUAUUUUUUUACCUGAAUCCCAUCUGUGACCAAAUGUUGCGUUUUUUGUGACCAAUUUGCAGGCUUAGAGAUUUACCAUACCGGAGAAGAGUUGGUUUUCGAGAAAAAUUACAAUUACCCUAAUGAAGAAAGUGCUGACAAAUUUAAAAAACAAUCUAAAUGUAGCCCAACGUCAAAUACUGCAGAAUACGAGUUUUCCCCACUUUCUGGAAUGCGACGAAAUCGUUGUCCAAUCCUAGCUAAUAUACUACUUUAUGUUGAGGUAGGUGCAACAACCUAAUGAGAGUGAGUUGUGGUUUAACAUAGCCGGAAGACGUGUAAGGUUCUCAAUUUCGAAGUUUUGUUCAGUGAUACAAGUAGGAUGGAGAACACCCAUUCACGUUUGAAAAAUGCAUAUUUUCAAAAGUUGAAAAAUGUGACUCAUGAAGACGUCAAAGAAGCAUUCCUUGGUGCAUCUAACAUUCCGGAUGCAGAUGUUUCUAUGGUAGG
rnacentral:lncRNA from 1 species